rnacentral:rRNA from 1 species
UACGUAGGGCGCAAGCGUUAUCCGGAAUUAUUGGGCGUAAAGAGCUCGUAGGCGGUUUGUCGCGUCUGCCGUGAAAGUCCGGGGCUCAACUCCGGAUCUGCGGUGGGUACGGGCAGACUAGAGUGAUGUAGGGGAGACUGGAAUUCCUGGUGUAGCGGUGAAAUGCGCAGAUAUCAGGAAGAACACCCGUGGCGAAGGCGGUUCUCUGGGACGGUACUGACGCUGAGGAGCGAAAGCGUGGGGAGCGAACAGG